rnacentral:rRNA from 1 species
UACGUAGGGUGCAAGCGUUAAUCGGAAUUACUGGGCGUAAAGCGUGCGCAGGUGGUUUUGUAAGUCUGUCGUGAAAUCCCCGGGCUCAACCUGGGAAUUGCGAUGGAGACUGCAAGGCUAGAAUCUGGCAGAGGGGGGUAGAAUUCCACGUGUAGCAGUGAAAUGCGUAGAGAUGUGGAGGAACACCGAUGGCGAAGGCAGCCCCCUGGGUCAAGAUUGACGCUCAUGCACGAAAGCGUGGGGAGCAAACAGG